CAAAAACAAAAUGUGCCUACAACUAGACCAUUGAACAAUUUUCUAUUUCUGAUUUAUUCCAAAAUGACAUUUAUUUUGAUUCGAGGCUUUACACGUAAGCCUCCGAGUUCCAGCGUUCCCAUAAAAUGGUUUUACUGUGAAAAGGGCGGAUGUUGUUGAAUUAUGUGUGCUUUGAAACAAUUUAAUGUGGGCUUACUGCGUUGUUAUUUAUAGAAGGCGAGCUUUCGAGCGUGUUCCCGAGGUUGUGUUUAUUUUGUUUCGCAGGGAGGGUGAAAACAUUCUCCUCCAGAACUUGUAUAAAGUCCUUCGCUUAAAAACACCACAAAGGAACGUAAGACAAUGGCACUCUGUUGGGCAGACGGUGGGAUGAUCUGUGACUUUGAUCUCGACUCCCUGUGCUGAGAACAGAGACCGUCCCAGAGAUCACAGCCCCACAGACAGCCUUGCGUCUCCCUCAAUACACCGCUGGCACACACUUGGCUCGAUCAGCCCGCGAUAACAUCCGAGUCUGAUUCCUCCCGCAGACUUCACACAUGUGGGGCGAGACGACGACCAACGGAGCAUCUCUCUGGCCUUGAGAAGCUGGGGGGUGGAAAGAGUCAGACUGCAGCAACUGACCUAGUGCAAGCAGUGAAAUUAUACCCUGUGCGCAUCCUUGAUCCCCGUUGUGAAGGAAGAUUUAGCACAGUAUGGAUAUAUUGCCCGUAAGGUAAGAAAAGGUUUUUUAAACGUUUAAUGUCCAUUCACACCAAAGACAAUAACUAUUUAAGACAGUUUUAAAGAGAACAGUGGGGUCCACAUCGAAACUAUACGGAGGAACAAUGCUGUUAGGUUCACAUUCAAAUCGAUUUUCAUUUUUUCAGGUGAUUAACGAUAAAACAAUAACAGAAAUCCAUUAUGAUUUAAAGGGCUUGUGCAUUUAAAGUGUGAAACUGCAAUGAACAAGCUU